CCUCAACUCAUAGCAUAGCAUAUCAUAGCAUAUCAUUAAAUGCACAUGCAUAAAAUCAUGGCAUAACACAUCAAGACAGGACUCAACAUCCUAUCCUAGUGGACAUGAUCUUCCUAUUGUGCUUGCCCUCUAAAACAACCUCUUUCCGAUGUGAGAUAUCUCUAAUCCCUGAGCAUCUUAGCUCAGCACACCGUACUCUAGAGGCCCUAUGCUCUGAUACCAAUCUGUAACAGCCCGCUUACCGGACCAUCACCGGCACUAGGAUCCAGAUCGGCUUAAGGCCGCCGGGACCCGUAGUAAGCCUACUGUCAACUCUGUGUACCUGAUAAAUCCCAUACAUGAUCAUACUUAAGCUUAAAACUGUUACUUACUCUUUUUUUUUUUUUUUCUUUGCUUGACUAUCUUUUCUUUCUGUAUAACUUCCACUAAGCCUGGACUAUGCAUGCUCUGUCUGUAUGCACUCGAAGAGUGAUACCUGCUAUGGUACCAUACA
rnacentral:lncRNA from 1 species